rnacentral:rRNA from 2 species
AUGUUCCGAUUUUCCGCAUGGAUUUUCGGGAAAGUGUUAGCGGUAUGAGAUGGUGUCGCGUCCUAUCAGCUUGUUGGUGAGGUAAUGGCUCACCAAGGCUUUGACGGGUAGCCGGCCUGAGAGGGCGACCGGCCACAUUGGGACUGAGAUACGGCCCAGACUCCUACGGGAGGCAGCAGUGGGGAAUAUUGCACAAUGGGGGAAACCCUGAUGCAGCGACGCCGCGUGCGGGAUGACGGCCUUCGGGUUGUAAACCGCUUUUAAUUGGGAGCAAGCGAGAGUGAGUGUACCUUUUGAAUAAGCACCGGCUAACUACGUGCCAGCAGCCGCGGUAAUACGUAGGGUGCAAGCAUUAUCCGGAAUUAUUGGGCGUAAAGAGCUCGUAGGCGGUUUGUCACGCCUGGUGUGAAAGUCCAUCGCUUAACGGUGGAUCUGCGCCGGGUACGGGCAGGCUAGAGUGCAGUAGGGGAGACUGGAAUUCCC